rnacentral:tRNA from 1 species
UGGCUUAGUUGAUAAAGCGCUCGUCUAGCAUACAAGAGUCCUGGGUUCAAAUCCCAG